AUUGAACGCUGGCGGCAGGCCUAACACAUGCAAGUCGAACGAGUGGCGGACGGGUGAGUAAUGUCUGGGAAACCGCCCGAUGGAGGGGGAUAACUACUGGAAACGGCAGCUAAUACCGCAUACCAUCGGAUGUGCCCAGAUGGGAUUAGCUAGGAGGUGGGGUAACGGCUCACCUAGGCGACGAUCCCCAGCUGGUCUGAGAGGAUGACCAGCCACACUGGAACUGAACCACGGUCAAGAGUCCUACGGCAGGCAGCAGUGGGGAACAUUGCACAAUGGGCGCAAGCCUGAUGCAGCCAUGCCGCGUGUAUGAAGAAGGCCUUCGGGUUGUAAAGUACUUUCAGCGAGGAGGCGUUACUCGCAGAAGAAGCACCGGCUAACUCCGUGCCAGCAGCCGCGGUAAUUC
rnacentral:rRNA from 1 species